rnacentral:rRNA from 1 species
ACAAACAUAUUGGCUUUAUAGGUAUUAAUUAUUAAAGAUAUAGAAUAGUUUUAAUCUAUUACUUUUUGCAUCAUGGUUUAUAGAGGUAGGUUAGGUUACUAUUUUCCCGAAAGUUCUAGAUCUAUUUUAAUUAAUUAAAAUAAAUUUAAUGUUGUAAAAUUAAGUUUGAAAGUUAAAAUAGUGUGAAAUACUAUUCGAAAGGGCUGGUAGCUGGUUGAAGGAGAAAUGCAUCUCAGUGCGGGUUGAUUUUUACUUAAAGUAGUAAGUAAAGGUUUUACUAAUACAUUAGGGUUUUAGCUCAAAUGUUGAAAGUGUUUAAAUUUUAAUUUUAAAGUAGGAUUUAUAUUGUCUAUCUUGUAAAUUUUUAUUCAAAGUGCUUGUGAAAUAUUUUUAUAGGUUAGGUAUCCUUCUAUUAAUUUAAAUUUAAUAUUAUAAAUUAGUAUAAAAUUAGUAAGUAUUAAAAUUUUAGUUAAUAUUAUCUAUAUUGAUUGAUAUAGCUAGGUUUGGUAUUUUUAGAAAAGAGUAUUGAAGUUAAAGGUACUUUUAAUGAACUCGGCAAAUAUUUUCUGCACCUGUUUAUUAAAAACAUGGCUCUUUGAUUUUAAUUAGAUGAGGGGUCUGGCCUGCCCGGUGAGGUUAGCCUUAAACGGUCGCAGCUUCCACUGUGCGAAGGUAGCGUAAUAGGUCGUUCUUUAAUUGAGAGAUAGUAUGAAUGGUCGAAUGUUGGAAAGUCUUUAUUAAAAGUAAUUGGUUGAAUUUUACUUUCCAGUGCAAAGGCUGGUAUGGAAGUAUUAGACGAGAAGACCCUGUUGAGCUUAGUAAUCUUAAAACAUAAAUGUUUUAGGUGUAUGUUUUUUCGGGGCUGAUGGGAAGGGAUAGUGUAAUGCCUUCUUUGAUUUUAUAUGGAUCCAACAAGGUUGAUUUAAAGAAGAUAGCUACCACAGGGAUAACAGCGCAAUUUUUUUAAAAAGAUCAUAUUUAAUGAAAAGUUUGCGACCUCGAUGUUGAAUCAGGAUUCCUAUUAGGUGUAGCAGCUUAAUAAGUAGGACUGUUCGUCCUUUAAAAUCCUACGUGAUUUGAGUUUAGACCGGCGUGAGCUAGGUCGGUUUCUAUCUGUAAUUGAAAUGUUUCUAGUACGAAAGGACCGAAAUGUUUAGUAUUACUAAAAUAAUAA